UCAACAACUGUAAAUCCUACUUCUGGUGAAUCAUAUAGAUAAUAUAAUAUACCUUUUAUUUAUAUCAUUAUAAAUAGGGCCAUUACAACUAUUUCUGUCAAUGCUUUUGCAGUACAUUUAUAAAUUCUAUAGCUAUAUCAUGGCAUCAUGCUAAGAAUGAAUAAGGUGUCAAAUGUUUAAAUUUCAUAUUUACUGUUAAAAUUUACAGAUUUUCUUAUAUCCAAACAUAUUAACCAAAGGUCAAAAUUUGGUUUAUGCAAUUAUGGGCAUGUCAAGGAUGCAAGAACAACUUUGCUCUCAUUCCAUCCCUGGGAAACUUUCAAAUUAUGCCUUUAAAGAAAAGGAUGCAAAACCCCAACUCGACCCAGAGAAAGUUAAGAGUAUAUGUGAGCAUCAUUUCGAUGCACAUGGUUAAGAUGCCCAAACAUUGAUUCAAAGAAGCCAUCAAUGCUGGCUGUUCUGGAAAAGAACAAGAACAAAGAUGUCCAACACAUUAUUGGUCUAUUAGAGGAUUGUCACCCGAACUAGAAAAAGGAUGACAGUGGUGUUGAAAUUUAGACCAUUGUAAAAAAAGAACAUUCCCGAAGUUGCUAUUAACUGGAUCUCUUGGUUACAUCCAUUCACUGGACCUUUUGGCUGAAGGCAUGGUAGCAAUAAAGUUUAAGCAGUUUUCCAUCUUAAAUGCUGUUGUGUGUUUGCUGACUGCAUUGUAUGUAUCCAACGCAGAGAACCCUAAAGAUGGAGGUGGGUAGACAAAGAAUGUGUUCCUUCUUCUGGACCAGAUAUUACUACAAACAAACGGAAAAACGAACAUUCCAAUUGGAGUUAAAAACUUUUUACCGCAGCUUUGAGAACCUGGAAAUGACUUAAGUAUAGAUAGAUGAAUCCUAGUAAGAUAAGUGUUUGAAUGUAGUACUUUGUAUAUAUGUAUAAAUGCAAAUAACCAUUAGGAUAAUUUAUUUAUUAUAUUAGAUCUUUUAUAAUACAUAUGUGUGUUUUGACAAAAUUUGAUUUGAAGUGCUCUGAAUUUCAGGAUAAUUUAACCAAUCCUUAAUUGGUUGAAAUAAUUGGUCAAAAAAACCAUUGCACAUUGGUUACAUUAACCAAAUUCAAUAUAGGUUACAUCAACCUAUUAAAUAUUGGUAGAUUCAACCAAUAUUAAUAUUGGUAAUUUUAACCAAAACGAAUUUGGUAAAAAAAUAACCAAAUUUUAAUUGGUUGUCCUGGUUGCAUCCAGGAGAACCUUUUUUUUUUGGUUGUUUCAACCAUUCAUUUUUUAC